UAAGCUCAGGAGGGAUAGCGCCAUGGAUGUUUUUGUAAUCGAUCAUGUCUCUAGAUUCCUGGGUUUUGAUCCUUCUGUAGCGCUAUCCAUCCUGAGUUCAAUAGGU
rnacentral:sRNA from 1 species